UAGGGAAUCUUCGGCAAUGGGGGCAACCCUGACCGAGCAACGCCGCGUGAGUGAAGAAGGUUUUCGGAUCGUAAAGCUCUGUUGUAAGUCAAGAACGAGUGUGAGAGUGGAAAGUUCACACUGUGACGGUAGCUUACCAGAAAGGGACGGCUAACUACGUGCCAGCAGCCGCGGUAAUACGUAGGUCCCGAGCGUUGUCCGGAUUUAUUGGGCGUAAAGCGAGCGCAGGCGGUUUGAUAAGUCUGAAGUUAAAGGCUGUGGCUCAACCAUAGUUCGCUUUGGAAACUGUCAAACUUGAGUGCAGAAGGGGAGAGUGGAAUUCCAUGUGUAGCGGUGAAAUGCGUAGAUAUAUGGAGGAACACCGGUGGCGAAAGCGGCUCUCUGGUCUGUAACUGACGCUGAGGCUCGAAAGCGUGGGGAGCGAACAGGAUUAGAUACCCUGGUAGUCCACGCCGUAAACGAUGAGCGCUAGGUGUUGGAUCCUUUCCGGGAUUCAGUGCCGCAGCUAACGCAUUAAGCACUCCGCCUGGGGAGUACGACCGCAAGGUUG
rnacentral:rRNA from 1 species